rnacentral:rRNA from 1 species
CACUAUGCCUAGCCCUAAACAUUGAUGAUAACUUACAAUUAUUAUCCGCCUGGGAACUACGAGCACCAGCUUAAAACCCAAAGGACUUGGCGGUGCUUUAGACCCACCUAGAGGAGCCUGUUCUAGAACCGAUAACCCCCGUUCAACCUCACCCUUCCUUGUUCCUCCCGCCUAUAUACCACCGUCGUCAGCUUACCCUGUGAAGGGCUAAUAGUAAGCAAAACUGGCAAAGCCCAAAACGUCAGGUCGAGGUGUAGCGCAUGGAAGGGGAAGAAAUGGGCUACAUUCACUAACCCAGUGCACACGAAUGACACCCUGAAACACGUGUCUGAAGGAGGAUUUAGCAGUAAGUAGAAAAUAGAGUGUUCUGCUGAAACUGGCCCUGAAGCGCGCACACACCGCCCGUCACUCUCCCCGAGCUAAGACUCUCAAGUAAAUAAGCAACUAUAACUGCAAAGGGGAGGCAAGUCGUAA